rnacentral:rRNA from 1 species
UACGGAGGGUGCAAGCGUUAAUCGGAAUUACUGGGCGUAAAGCGUGCGCAGGCGGUUUUGUAAGUCUGUCGUGAAAGCCCCGGGCUCAACCUGGGAAUGGCAAUGGAUACUGGAUAGCUAGAGUGUGAUAGAGGAUGGUGGAAUUCCCGGUGUAGCGGUGAAAUGCGUAGAGAUCGGGAGGAACAUCAGUGGCGAAGGCGGCCAUCUGGAUCAACACUGACGCUGAGGCACGAAAGCGUGGGGAGCAAACAGG